GAUGAACGCUAGCGGCAGGCUUAAUACAUGCAAGUUGAGGGGCAGCAUGAUAUACGCGAGUAUAUUGAUGGCGACCGGCGGACGGGUGAGUAAUAGGUAGGAGACCUACCUCAUACAGGGGGAUAGCAUAGAGAAAUCUGUGGUAAUACCCCAUGAGGUUAUAUGAAUAGAGGCAUAUAAUCAAAGCAUAAGCGAUUAUGCGGUAUGAGAGGGGCCUACUGACCAUUAGCUAGUUGGUGAGGUAAGGGCUCACCAAGGCGAAGAUGGUUAGGGGUUUUGAGAGAGAGACCCCCCACAUUGGAACUGAGAGACGGUCCAGACUCCUACGGGAGGCAGCAGUAGGGAAGUAUUGGGCGAAUGGGCGAAAGCCUGACCCAGCCAUGCCGCGUGAAGGAAGACGGCCUUAUGGGUUGUAAACUUCUUUACUACGCGAAUAGAGGUUAGUACGAGAUACUAAUAGGAAGGUAGUGUAGUAAAAAGACACCGGCUAACUCCGUGCC
rnacentral:rRNA from 1 species